GUGGGGAAUUUUGGACAAUGGGGGCAACCCUGAUCCAGCAAUGCCGCGUGAAGGAAGAAGGUCUUCGGAUCGUAAACUUCUAUCCUUGGUGAAGAUAAUGACGGUAGCCGAGAAGGAAGCCCCGGCUAACUACGUGCCAGCAGCCGCGGUAAUACGGAGGGGGCAAGCGUUGUCCGGAAUGAUUGGGCGUAAAGGGCGCGUAGGCGGCCUGGUAAGUCUGGAGUGAAAGUCCUGCUUUUAAGGUGGGAAUUGCUUUGGAUACUGUCGGGCUUGAGUGCAGGAGAGGUAAGUGGAAUUCCCGGUGUAGCGGUGAAAUGCGUAGAGAUCGAGAGGAACACCAGUGGCGAAGGCGACUUUCUGGACGAUGUCAGACGCUGAGGCGCGAAAGCUAGGGGAGCGAACGGGAUUAGAUACCCGGGUAGUCC
rnacentral:rRNA from 1 species